UACAGAGGUGGCGAGCGUUAUUCGGAAUUAUUGGGCGUAAAGGGCGCGUAGGCGGCCAACUAAGUCAGACGUGAAAUCCCUCGGCUUAACCGGGGAACUGCAUCUGAUACUGGAUGGCUUGAGUUCGGGAGAGGGAUGCGGAAUUCCAGGUGUAGCGGUGAAAUGCGUAGAUAUCUGGAGGAACACCGGUGGCGAAGGCGGCAUCCUGGACCGACACUGACGCUGAGGAGCGAAAGCGUGGGGAGCGAACAGG
rnacentral:rRNA from 1 species